ACACCUGUUCUCAUGCCGAACACAGAAGUUAAG
rnacentral:rRNA from 5 species